CGGUGCGAUCAUAUCAGCACUAAUGCACCGGCUCCGGCGAGAGUAGUACGAGGAUGGGUGACCUCCUCGGAAGUCCUCGUGUUGCAUUGU
rfam:Vigna angularis cultivar Jingnong 6 scaffold647_5, whole genome shotgun sequence.